rnacentral:tRNA from 1 species
GCUGAUAUAGCUCAGUCGGUAGAGCGCAUCCUUGGUAAGGAUGAGGUCGGUAGUUCGAAUCUGCCUAUCAGCACCA